rnacentral:misc_RNA from 1 species
GAUGAAGAACGUAGUGAAAUGCGAUACUUGGUGUGAAUUACAGAAUCCCGUGAACCAUCGAGUCUUUGAACGCAAGUUGCGCCCGAAGCCAUUAGGCCGAGGGCACGCCUGCCUGGGUGUCACACGUCGUUGCCCCCCCAUCUACUCCUUCGGGAUUGCGGGGGGCGGAUGAUGGCCUCCCGUGCGCCUCGUCGCGCGGUUGGCAUAAAUGCCAAGUGCUCGGCGACGCACGCCACGACAAUCGGUGGUUGCGAAACCUCGGUUGCCCGUCGUGUGCGGUCGUCGCGCAUCGAGGGCUCGAAAAAAUUGCCGGGCUCCGGCUCGGCUUUCAACGCGACCCCAGGUCAGGCGGGGUUACCCGCUGAAUUUAAGCAUAUCAAUAAGCGGAGGA